rnacentral:rRNA from 1 species
UACGUAGGGUGCAAGCGUUGUCCGGAAUUAUUGGGCGUAAAGAGCUCGUAGGCGGUUUGUCGCGUCUGAUGUGAAAACUCAGGGCUUAACUCUGAGCUUGCAGUGGGUACGGGCAGACUAGAGUGCGGUAGGGGAGACUGGAAUUCCUGGUGUAGCGGUGAAAUGCGCAGAUAUCAGGAGGAACACCGGUGGCGAAGGCGGGUCUCUGGGCCGUAACUGACGCUGAGGAGCGAAAGCGUGGGGAGCGAACAGG